UGGCUCAGAGGUUAAAGCGUCUGCCUGGAAUGCGGAAGACCUGGGUUCGAUCCCUG
rnacentral:tRNA from 1 species